AGCUUAUCGAUGAUGUACUCGAAAAAAAAUGUCUGAACAUAUGAGUCCGCUAGUGAUUUCAACGCGCACUGAGAUAAGCG
rnacentral:snoRNA from 1 species